rnacentral:lncRNA from 1 species
ACGCGGAGCCGAGCCUGCGCACAGUCGCCUGGCUUGCCGCGUGUGGCAGUCCCACGGCUCGCUCUUUUACGCCUGCGUGUCGCGCCUAGCCUCACGCUCUACGUCGCAGCCACACGUUCUAGGGUUCUCUUGGCCCCAGCCCCACAGUUCCUGGUUGGUGCCCCUCCCACAGUGCCGUUAUUUAAAAUAGUGCUUACCCUUGGAGGUAAUGUUAACUGGAACAAGAUGCAGGACUGAGUGCUUCUCUAAGGAAAGAAGGAGGAAACAGCAGUGUUGACCUGCCCUGGAGUCCACCCUCACCUCAGCCCUGCUCCGCAUCCCUCGUGCUCCUGGGUCACCGCCAACCGCACCGAAACCCCAGGGCUCACUCACUCUUGUGCUUCUGGGCAUGUGCAACCUGCAGCCAUCAGAGGGCCCCAUGCAUCUCAGGGUGCUAUGGACAUGGCCCAAUGUAUCUGCAGAGGACAUCAUGUCACAGUAUCAGAAGAUCAGGUACCCCACAUGUAUAGAGCGCUUUUCCACCCCCACCUCACUGAAACUCUUUAACAACCUUCCGCCUCAUCAGACUCUUGGGAAAGCCUGGCCUUGCAUGGGUCCUGAGCCUGCCUCUACCACCCAAUUAAGCUUUGAGGCCUACUAAGGCCUAAAUGCUACUACCAGGGGCAAGGAGUCCCUGACUCCACUGUAAAAUCGUCUUCCUGUGUGGUGCCAUGUAUCUUGGGCUACCUUACCAUCAUUCUUGUCAUCUACCACUGUAAUUACACAUUUACAGACUGCC